rnacentral:rRNA from 1 species
CAGCACCUCAAGUGGUCAGGAUGAUUAUUUGGCCUAAAGCGUCCGUAGCCGGCCGGGUAAGUCUCCCGUUAAAUCCAGCGUCUCAAGCGUUGGACUGCGGGAGAUACUGCCUGGCUAGAGAGUGGGAGAGGUCAGCGGUAUUCUGGGGGUAGGGGCGAAAUCCUUUGAUCCCCGGAGGACCACCAGUGGCGAAGGCUGCUGACUAGAGCACGUCUGACGGUCAGGGACGAAAGCUGGGGUAGCGAACCGGAUUAGAGACCCGAGUAGUCC